GAAGUUCUACAGCAGCAUCUGUAUGUGUACCUCACCCAGAAUAGUUCAGUUCUGUGUUAGGCAAAGAAGAUCGCAGACCUAAGUCUGAACAACACUAGAUUCUAUUCCUGUGCAGCACACAGCCCCCAGAGGAUAUGCGCCUGCUUCUGAACAGGACUGCUCCUCCGUCGGGAUGCAAAUCAAGCCGAGAUGCAGAAUUCACAGAGACAAAUUCAUGGAACCCUUUCUCCUCACUCCUGUGAUUUUAUUAGCUGAAUUAUGGGUGCGGUUUAUUUCAUGGAUCAGAUGACCGAGCCUUCUAGGUCUGUGGAUUCAGUGCUCGGCAAUUAUCCAGAAGCCUUUUGCUCAAUGUCACCGCGACCUGGGAAAGGUCAACAUGUAGCAGAUGGAGGUCCAGCGCAGAUCUGCCUGGUUGUACCGUCUGCAUUCUUACUAACCAGAUUAUGUUCCUCUUGGCUCUGUCACAAGUCAAAGAGAGCAAGAAGGCGGAGAAGACAGGCUUAGCCCUCCCCAUUGAACAUCAUUAAUGUGAGAUUCUGCGCCCGACACAGAGAGAAGAGGCAAUUUCAGUAAAUGGGACUGGUGACAAUGGCAGCAGGUCCUGGGAACCGGAUCCCAUAGUCUGAAUACAGCAAA